GUUGUGAGUGGCUACGGCGAUGUACCAAUGGCCGCCACGGCAUUUAGGGCAGGUGCUGUGGAUUUUAUCGAAAAACCUCUGGCCAGGCAGUCUUUGCUGUUGGCUGUUGAGUCCGCGCUCGGGCGAGAUCCCCGGAGUCGCCACAUUGUGGGCAAAGUGCUUACCAAAACAGAGACCAAGAUUCUGCGUUUGAUUCUGGAUGGCAAGAGCAACAAGGAAAUAGCCAGGUUGCGACACCGG
rnacentral:rRNA from 1 species